ensembl:lncRNA
GCGCGUUCGCCGGUCGCUCUUUACACCGGACACCAGUUCUCCCGGGAAAGGAGCGGCAGGUAAGCCCGACUCCGGACAGGCGUUGGGCUGGACAGCAACCUCAGAAGGAAGAGGGAAAGUACCUGAUAGCUUCGUAGGUGCGCAAUAAAUAUCUGAUGACCGGCCGAAUAAAUGUGACCUUUGGACAGGUCGCUCGACAGUGUGUAUGCCCCAUCACAGGCCUCCAGACCUCCCAGCCACACAUUCCCUAAGCGCAAGCGACUGCAUAGCCCUACGUGUAUAUUUCUCCCCAAACGGGCGCCCUACUUUGGGCGAUUAUGUGACAUGUGUCACCCAGGACUCUAAUCCCCGCGGCCCCUAAAACUGCAGGCCAAGAGGGGCCAUUUCAGGCUUCCUCCCUUUUUUUGUUUUCGAAGAGAAAGAGGGAUGAGGUGGACAGGAGGUGUGGGGUGAGAGAGGCGUGAAGCGUCAAUGCGCUCCCGGGUGACCCGGCCGGCCAGCCGGCCGGGUCGUGGGGCAGCGGGCGGCUGUCACCCAGCGGGGCGCCCGGGGGUGCGGCCCUCGGCCAAAGCGAGAGACUGGACGCGCUGGCUUGUCCUGGACUGGCUGGCUGGCUGAUGCAAAAAGAAGAGGUGAGAGUGGGAAGUCCCAGCCCAAGGGGACUGUGUUUCCAAAGGGAGUGUGCUUUUUUUUUUUUUUAAUCCUUCUUUUUUCGAAAAUACCUGUCUUUAGUCAAGAUACAAGGGAGCCACGCGUCAUUCGGAUUCCCUCACUUCAUCCCUCGAACGGCCUGCGGGAAAUUUCCUAGGUCGUUUUCUUUUUUGUUUUUCCCUCCCCGAUUUUCCUCAACUAAAAAUCUUUCAGGCAUUUUCGCUGAAGGUGCUUUUGCCUUGCUGAUUUAAAAAUACAAACAAAAUCAGCGCUCCACGCAGCGGCGCCUCGCUGGCAGCUGACUCCGCAGGGCCUGGGGGCUCGCACCAGCGGGCAGAGCUUCCUCCGCAGAUCGCGGAUUCGCACCUGCGCUUCCUCCCCGCAUCCCAGCACCUUUCGGUUUCGGGGUGUUCAGUCCCAGGGAGGGCACCGACGAGAAAGAGCUGAGGUUCCCAGGGCGGCUUUGUAGGAUUCCCCGAGGGGAGGGUGGGCACUAUAGCGAUGACUUCAUCUCAGCCUGAAGGGACUCCAGCAGCUACUGCCUCUAAGAUGUUCUAUGGGGUGGGUGAUUAUUUCAGAUCUGUAUUAAUCGGGGGAAAUGUCUCCAUCAAACUGUGGAAAAGGAGAAAUGUUAUUAACAUACAAUCCCGAAGGUAACUGUUUGAAUUAAAGACGGAUUCUCUUGUGUCUUUCUCGCACUCCUUUUCUAUCUCAGCGGGACCCGGGAGGCUCCGGGGCAGAGAGCAUCUCCUGAUUCCUAGAACCUGUAGAUUCUUGGGGCCACAUCGGGCGUCCUUUCUGCUGCGGGUUGGGCUCCGCUGUGGAGCGGCGUGAGCGAGGCGCGAGGGCAGACGCGCGCAGCCUGGUCGCCUGCCCUCUGGUCGCUGCUCCCGAGGCAGCACCUUCUGCCCGGAGGGCCCCAGGAGGACCAAGCUCCUGGGGUCAGCCUCCAACUUGUGAGUGUCCGCGAGACUGACGUCUUAAGGCUGGGGGCUUUGGCUAUAGAGGGUUCUCGGAGAUGUGACGUCACAAAGACUGCAGCGGGUAGACGGACACGGAGCCUUGACAGCCCCGGGGUUUCGAGAAGUGAGGGGUCACAAGGAACCCGGGGAUCGCUGGGCUUCCGGCUUUGUCAUUGUUUAUUUCGAAUUAAUUUCGUGUUGUGCGUCUCUGUUUGCAAGCCCGCAGGAGAGACGCAGCGAAUACCCGAUUGAUUCCAUCCCCGGUUUGUUUGAAGGGAGGAGCAAGGGGCGCCUCUGGUGCUCUCACAGCCUUCAAUAGCUCCAAUAGACAGAUCACGGAUUUUGAGAACGCAGUUUUUUCCUUUUCUUUCCUUUUUUUUUUUUACUUUCUCUCUUUGACGUUUUUCUUCCAAGGCCCUUUCACUGAUGUAAAAGGACUAAGUGGACUCUUACGUCUCUUUUUUACCUGUCCCCAACUCCUGUUUUCUUUUUUUUUCUUGAUGAGUGUGAAAUUUGGCCUGGCAUAGGUGAAAGGGACCCUUUUUUUGGUCCCUCUCUUAAAUCAUUAAGACCCAGAAAAUUUCACAGUAUCUCUAUCACUAUCUUUAGGACAAAAUGUGUUUACAUCCAGUGGAAAAGGCGCAUUGUUUUCUUUCACGCUGAGCCCUAGGACUGGAACCUGCUUCUCCACCAGUUUCCAGGUUGGCUGAAAGGAUUACCUGGCACUUCCUCAAGCAAAGUCACCUUGGAACAAGACACGGGAGGGUCCAGCCUUGAAGGCAUUGUAUCCAUGACAUCCACCGGAGGAGCUAAAGAAAACAUCCACAGGUUGUUGUGAACAGUUCCAGUCCACCAGUAUCCAGUGACUCCUUAAGGACAAGGAAGUGUAUGAAAAAGAGUGUCACUGAGCGACCAAGAUGGCUCAGGCCCCGCUGCAUGGGAGCUGGGCAUUUCUGUGGAGUGAGAACACCGCAGGGUUGGGAACCAUCUUAAACAACCCCCUCUAAAUUGACUAGGGACAAGAAAUAAAAAGGCUAGACAGAUACAAGUGUAGAGGGAAGCAGACAGCAAUGUCAAGG